UACAGAGGGUGCAAGCGUUAAUCGGAAUUACUGGGCGUAAAGGGCGCGUAGGUGGUUGCGUAAGUGAGAUGUGAAAUCCCCGGGCUUAACCUGGGAACUGCAUCUUAUACUGCGUAGCUGGAGUACAUGAGAGGGUAGUGGAAUUUCCGGUGUAGCGGUGAAAUGCGUAGAUAUCGGAAGGAACACCAGUGGCGAAGGCGGCUACCUGGCAUGAUACUGACACUGAGGCGCGAGAGCGUGGGGAGCAAACAGG
rnacentral:rRNA from 1 species